rnacentral:rRNA from 1 species
ACCGUCGCGGGUUGGUUAAAGACACUUUUAGUUUGGGGACGAAAAAGAACUACGGACGUAAUAUUCUGUGGUCUUGAUUUAACCCAAAGAAAAAGCACCGGCUAACUCUGUGC